UCUCCAGAGGACAGAGACAGCCGUCAGGGCCUUUGAUAACAUGGUGACGUCGAUGAUGAUACAGGUGUGCUGAGUGAGCUGUGCUGCCAGCCAUCGCAGAGGAGCCCGCGCACGACUGUGGUGGGGCCGUCGGUCUGUUCUGGUUGCCUCUUCCUGAAUGGGACGCCUGGGGCUUUCAGGGCAGGCAGCUGUGCAUGUUCUCUCAACUAAAGGUCUUGUGAGAGG
rnacentral:lncRNA from 1 species